rnacentral:rRNA from 1 species
AUUGAACGCUGGCGGCAUGCCUUACACAUGCAAGUCGAACGGCAGCACGGGUGCUUGCACCAGGUGGCGAGUGGCGAACGGGUGAGUAAUACAUCGGAACGUACCUUAUCGUGGGGGAUAACGCAGCGAAAGCUGUGCUAAUACCGCAUACGCCCUGAGGGGGAAAGCGGGGGAUCGAAAGACCUCGCGCGAUUAGAGCGGCCGAUGCCGGAUUAGCUUGUUGGUGGGGUAAAAGCCCACCAAGGCGACGAUCAGUAGCUGGUCUGAGAGGACGAUCAGCCACACUGGGACUGAGACACGGCCCAGACUCCUACGGGAGGCAGCAGUGGGGAAUUUUGGACAAUGGGGGCAACCCUGAUCAAGCAAUGCCGCGUGAGUGAAGAAGGCCUUCGGGUUGUAAAGCUCUUUUGUCAGGGAAGAAACACCGGCUCUAACACAGUCCGGGAAUGACGGUACCUGAAGAAUAAGCACCGGCUAACUACGUGCCAGCCGCCGCAGUAA